UCUCAGCAUCAGAUCAGUAUCAGCUAUCAGCAGGCACCCAGGACUAUACCAUAAAUGAGGAUUGAUACAUCCCUACUGAAACGCAUGAAAACAUCUUAACCAAACACAAUCAGAACGGAUUCUCAGAUGAUUCAGUGGAAGUAAAUCGGCUUUGCUUUCUGAGUAAAAGGAAGUUACAUUUUAACUGAACUCCAACGCUGAGGGAAGCACUUCGUUUUAAAAGGGGAAGUGUUCUGGAUCUUCACACGACACUUCAACGUUUCAAGGACGCCGUACCACACGGCGACAGGCAGCAGGCAGUAGAUGUAGUAGGUGAAGGAACUGGCCUGAAGAAACAGGAAGAGAGACACCAGCAGGCCUACGCACAAAAACACCCGACCCACACGUCUUGCUGCCAUCUAAAAUAACAGAGGAAACGCCACAGACAGGUGGUUUGCGCAGGCUGGCAUGAGUCUUCAGGAUGACCAAAACCACAUAAGAUGUCCAUCCGAUGAAACCUAAGACAACGCUGCAGCCCAGGAAAAGGCGGUCGUAGGUGUGGUAGUAGGACAAUCCCUGCAUG